rnacentral:lncRNA from 1 species
GAGUGCCUGAUACUUGGGUAGGAGGCUAAGAUACCAGAUGGAGAAGAGGCAGCAGGAACGCACUGGCCCAGCCUGGCCGGGGAGGGGUGCUGUCUGCGGGCAGGCCCGGCAAUGAUGAGUGAGGUGAGGCUUGGGGAGAAGGGUGGCCGUGGGAGAGGAAGCUGGGCUCACAGUCAGGCCAAGUCCCUCUGGGGGCUCAGAGCCACUGAUGUGCAGGGACAGGGGACACCUUUUUGCUUCAUAGAGCAAGAGAGGUUCCCCCAAGGCAGCCCCCUUCUCCCAUGGACAAGCCUCUCAGCCUUGGUUUUGAUCCAGCCCCACACAAGACCAAUCACCCACUCUCAGGGAGUCAGAGGGAGAUUCUCCGUUUGAGCUGUGGCUGGAGCUCAGAGCAACAGGAAUCAAACUCGUAUAAAGUACCUUGAUGUGCCACGUAUAGCGCUGGGGCUUUAUAAUAAGAAUUCCCCAAGGCCACACAGCCUAGAAGUGGAAUCACUUCAGUGUGAACCCAGGUAGUCUGACUCCAAAGCAGGCACGCUUCCCAAUGCACCACAUGGCUUAUUACCUGCAGGGGGGAUUUUCUGUUCCAUUGAACAUUUUGAUUGUAAAAACAUAAAAUUUACCAUGGGGAGGGGGAGCAGUUUAAGUCAGCACCGCCCUUCUCAGCCAGAAGAUGACCUAGAGAAUCAAUUACUCCAAGUGGCCUGGUGCCCUGGAAAAUAGGAGGCUAGGUCCCGUUCAUUCCCUCAAGCCCUACUAAGUGACUGGCAAUGUUCAAGGCAGGGCCCAGUGUUUGACGUGAAACAGUGAGGAGCUUGGAGGGAGCUUCUUCUCGGGGUUCACCCCGCACCUGCACAGCCUCAAGAGGGAGCGCCACCUUCAUUCCUGUGCCCGGGAGUCUAUCUGGGCCCCUCUUGGUCACUCUAGUCCCAGCAAAGUCCUGGGCAAAGAGCAGGUUCAGGGUCAAGUAGAAUUUAGAUGAGUGAUGGAGUCUCACCCCAGCCAGAGCAGAAACUGCCAAGGCACGUCCCUGAGAAAUGAUUCUGUCAACAAGGUGUCCGAGGGGCACUUAGCACAGUGAUGUACAACGUGGCCUAAUCGCUGCUGUUGGGGGUCCGGGGAAGAGACCGAGGGCAGAUAGACACCAGCACACAUAAACCCCGCAUUACUGCCUGUGGACAGUGUCCUGAAGGGAAGGGUGGCGUGGUCUGCAGGGGCGUUACCAGAAUCAGGACCCCCUCUCCCAGGAGGUGAUGGUUAGGCUGGCCAGCUCCUCAGAGGCCUGGAGCCUAGCACUGGCCUCCCCCAACCUUCUAAAUUUUCAUAACCAGGCUGCUCCCUUUGUUCCUCUAGCCCUGGGCAUGGUAGCUGCUCUGUGUCAUUAUUAACCCACAAUACCUUUUUAGUUGACCGUUCUUUACAUUCUCUCUGUUGAAAGAACCAGAGUGCUUUCUAUCCCUUGGUAGGACUCUGAAUGACACAGAACGAACUGCUGCAAGCUGAGGAAAGAGGAGAAGGUAGCCCAGUCCAGGCAGAGGCACCUGCGUGGCGUGGCCAGAGGCUAGGAGGCUGGAGGGAGCGAGGCACAUUGCAGGAGUCAGGACCAGUGGAGCUGGAGGGGAUUAAUGGGGUGGCAAGUAGAAUAAGAUGAAACUGGACAGGUCAGCUCUUACAUGGCAUGGAGUCUGGAUGGGAUCCUGGGAGCAAUGGGGAGCCAUGGAAUGCAAUACAGCGACUGAGUGAUUUAACUUUCAAAGAUUGCCCUGGCUGCCGUGAGCCUAACUCGCUGUUGGGGGCAAGAGUGGGCAGGAGCAAGAUAGUAUGUUAAAAGGUGCUAACUCCUUUGUUUUUUGUUUUUUCCUUUCUUUACUGCUUGGAAGGGAGGCGUCUCAAGGAAGAAAAACAUGGGGGCGAUUCUGGCGCAACAUGAUGUCACAAGAUAAAGGACAGGACCUCAUGGCCGCUCGAAAACUCAACAGUAAAGAGAAUGCCAGGACCCUAAAUGAACCCCUACUAACCCUAAGUGAGUCAGAGAAAGUCUCCACCGAUGACUCCCCAGGACCGUGCGGCCACCAACGGAGCCAGCCUGCUGGCCAAAAGAAGGUAGAAAGCGCUUUCAGGCCUGCCCAGUGUCUCCUGGCGGAUAAGUGUGGCCCUUACUCCCCCAGAUGCCAUGAGGCCACGUGGAGGGGGUGACGGCCCCGAGCUGCUCGCGGUCUGGCUCCCCGCAGAAAAACCCCAACUCCCAAGAAACGCCCGGGCCGGAAGCGGAAGCGCGGGUGCGUGCGUGCUGCAUUCUGGGAAGUGUAGUCCACAGAGGCCGGAAGAGUCCGUGAGAGCCGUGCGUUUGGGGGAAGGUAGUCCUCUAGUGGUCUGAGAGCCGGCGGCGUGAGCUGGAGUGGUUCACCUAAACCCCACGCCGUGGCGGGGGUUAACAGUUUGGGGACUUAGAGUGAAUACGUAGAAUUUGGUUUUGUCUCUCCCAACCACCAACACCCACGGAAGCGGAGAAUAGGACCUAUCCACGCUUCAGUGGUGGCAAGCAGGCCUGAGUUAUUCCGCCCUCGAACGAGUAAAUCAGCUGCGUAACCUCCCGGAACCUUUGUUUCCGUAUCUGUAAAACGGGCAGAUUAAUCAUUCUCACUUGGCAGCCUUGAUAACUCAAUCAAGUAACUAGCAAGGUGCUUAACACACCUUCCUUGCUUGACAAACCCCUCUUCCCUUUGAAGCUGAGCGUGAAGAGCAAAUGGAUGUGUUUUGCAACCAGGAGCAAAAAUUGUGCUUCAGCGGAGCACUUGGGACGUUUUCUUUGCAAAGUAGGAGUUCCUGCAAAUUCCAGCCAAAACUCAUAGGGGGGGAAAUAUAAGGAAAUCUUGUCACCCAGAGACUCAGCAAGGACGUGUGACCUUACUAGGCAACACACAGUAAGAUGUAAGUUAAAAAAUGAGACGGGUGCCUGGGUGGCCUAGAUGGUUAAGCGUCUGACUUGGCUCAGGUCAUGGUCUCAUGGUUGGUGAGUUCCAGCCCCGCAUUGGGCUCCGUGCUGACAGUGGGGAGCCUGCUUGGGAUUUUCUCUCCCUCCCUCCCUCCCCACCCCCUUCUCUCUCUCUCUCUCUCUCUCUCUCUCUCUCUCUCUCUCUCUCUCUGUCUUUCUGCCCCUCCCCUACUCGUACUUUCUCG